rnacentral:rRNA from 1 species
AUUGCACGCUGGCGGCAGGCCUAACACAUGCAAGUCGGGCGAGCGGCGGACGGGUUAGUAAUGUCUGGGGAUCUGCCUGCUGGAGGGGUAUAACUACUGGACACGGUAGCUAAUACCUCCUCCCCUCAGAUGCACCCAUAUGGGAUUAGCUUGUAGGUGAGGGAACGGCUCACCUAGGCGACGAUCCCUAGCUGGUAUGAGAGGAUGAUCAGCCACACGGUGACGGAGACAAGGCCCAGAGUGCGACGGGAGGCAGGAGUGGGGAAUAUGGCGCAAGGGGGGCAACCCGGACGCAGACAUGCGGCGGGAAUGAAGAAGGCCUUCGGGUUGUAAAGUUCGUUCGGUAGCGAGGCGUUAACUACAGAAGAAGCACCGGCUAACUCCGUGCCAGCAGCCGCGGUAAUAC